AUGGAGCCUGGGCUGGCGCGGCGGCUGUGGCACGUUGUGCUCGCCGUGUGCCACAUGCUGCGCCGCGGACUCUGCCGCAAGCGGCUCAUGAUGGACCUGCACCUCCUCCUCGGCCGCGGCAAGCUCGCCGGUCGCGCGCUUCGCGGCCUCCUAGCCCAACCCGCCACGGCCCAUGGCCAUGGCCACCGCAUCUCCUCCUCCUCCACUUCCGCCAUGGCGUCGUUCUACGGACACCACGCGCGGGCGGUGGAGUUCAGCUGCACCACCACGCCGUCGUACCCGCAGUACUACGGGCUCUUCCCCUUUAAGAGCCGCGGCGGGCGCAGCGGAGGCGGUCGGGGCACCGCCCGCGACGACUACGGAGGCCUGGAUGCCGCUGCGGUGGCGCGGGCGUUCGAGAUGAUGAGCGCCGACGUGGAGUCCGGAAGAGCCACGCCGGCGGUGGCAGGGAUGGCGACGGCGACGCCAUCACCGAUGGUGGCAUGGAUCCUGGGCCGCAGCCCCGCUGGUGUCCGGCGGCUGCGCGUCACCGACUCGCCGUUCCCGGUCGUGCCGGAGGACGGCAACAGCGGCAGCAACGAGCGCGUGGACGCCGAGGCCGACGACUUCAUCAGGAGGUUUUACGAGCAGCUACGGAUCCAGCACUCGAUCGCCAUCCCGGAGUGCUAG
rnacentral:rRNA from 1 species